rnacentral:rRNA from 1 species
AAUCACUUGUCUCUUAAAUAGAGACCUGUAUGAAUGGCUAGACGAGGGCUUAACUGUCUCCCCCCUUCGGUCAGUGAAAUUGAUCUAUCCGUGCAGAAGCGGGUAUAACUAUACAAGACGAGAAGACCCUUUGGAGCUUAAGGUACAAAAUUCAACCACGUUAAACGACUUCAUAGAAAGCAAGAACUUAGUGGCGAAUGAAAUUUUACCUUCGGUUGGGGCGACCACGGAGGAAAAAGAAGCCUCCGAGUGGACUGGGCUAAACCCUAAAGCCAAGAGAUACAUCUACAAGCCGCAGAACAUCUGACCAAUAAUGAUCCGACUGAAAAACCGAUCAACGAACCAAGUUACCCUAGGGAUAACAGCGCAAUCCUCUCCCAGAGUCCAUAUCGACGAGGGGGUUUACGACCUCGAUGUUGGAUCAGGACAUCCUAAUGGUGCAGCCGCUAUUAAGGGUUCGUUUGUUCAACGAUUAAAGUCCUACGUGAUCUGAGUUCAG